rnacentral:rRNA from 1 species
UAGGGAAUCUUCCGCAAUGGGCGAAAGCCUGACGGAGCAACGCCGCGUGAGUGAUGAAGGUCUUCGGAUCGUAAAACUCUGUUAUUAGGGAAGAACAAAUGUGUAAGUAACUAUGCACGUCUUGACGGUACCUAAUCAGAAAGCCACGGCUAACUACGUGCCAGCAGCCGCGGUAAUACGUAGGUGGCAAGCGUUAUCCGGAAUUAUUGGGCGUAAAGCGCGCGUAGGCGGUUUUUUAAGUCUGAUGUGAAAGCCCACGGCUCAACCGUGGAAGGUCAUUUGAAACUGGAAAACUUGAGUGCAGAAGAGGAAAGUGGAAUUCCAUGUGUAGCGGUGAAAUGCGCAGAGAUAUGGAGGAACACCAGUGGCGAAGGCGACUUUCUGGUCUGUAACUGACGCUGAUGUGCGAAAGCGUGGGGAUCAAACAGG